GAUGAGCGCUGGCGGCGUGCCUAAUACAUGCAAGUCGAGCGAACUGAUUAGAAGCUUGCUUCUAUGACGUUAGCGGCGGACGGGUGAGUAACACGUGGGCAACCUGCCUGUAAGACUGGGAUAACUUCGGGAAACCGAAGCUAAUACCGGAUAGGAUCUUCUCCUUCAUGGGAGAUGAUUGACAGAUGGUUUCGGCUAUCACUUACAGAUGGGCCCGCGGUGCAGUAGCUAGUUGGUGAGGUAACGGCUCACCAAGGCAACGAUGCAUCGCCGACCGUAGAGGGCGCUCGGCCGCACUGGGACGGCUACACGGCCCAGCAUCCGACGGGAGGCAGCAGUGGAGAAUCUUCCGCAAGGGACGAAAGACUGCCGGGGCAACGCCGCGCGAGUGAUGAAGGCUUUCGGGUCGUAAAACUCUGUUGUUAGGGAAGAACGAGUACGGGAGUAACUGCUCGUACCUUGACGGUACCUAACCACAAAGCCACGGCUAACUACGUGCCAGCCGCCGCCGUAAGAC
rnacentral:rRNA from 1 species